GCGGGCGGCCAGUUACCACAGAAGGGAUGCUGCGCAAGAGCAAGGGCCUGCUAAAAAACAGCUCAAGAGACUGAAGUGGUGGACAGCUUGCUGUGAAAGAUGGAAGCGUUCUUCCUGCAAGUCUGGACAAGGCCAUAUUAAAUGGCUUCAUCUGUCACAAAUCGCUGGCCACGAAUGUAAAGAACACCUUGGCCCCACUUCUGUCGAGGGAACCGAAGUUGCCUGAACAGAUGAAGAGGGGUGGUGCUACCAAUAGUGAACGACUGUGAUUUUAUAAUGUGCAAGUGUAUGAAAAAUCUCGUUACACUAAUUUAACGUUAAUUGCAUUCACUAGUCAAGUGUCAAUAUUGUAAUGUGUAAGUUUAUGCACAGUUGCAUUAAGUGAGCGCUCAUUCAAGCUUCAAGUUCGCAAUCAUAUAUUUUGGUGGUAUUCAUAGGGCACACAUUCCACUUUAAAUUGUGAUCUGCUCCUUUACUGAGGGUGCAUGCAGGUCCUUGAAACGAUUGAAAACCCUUGAAAAAGUAAAAGUACAUUUUUAAAGCCCUGAAACCCUUGGAAUUUCUUAGCAUAUAGUGUCCAAUAUUGACAAUACUAAU